rnacentral:rRNA from 1 species
CCUACGGGUGGCAGCAGUGAGGAAUAUUGGUCAAUGGGCGCGAGCCUGAACCAGCCAAGUCGCGUGAGGGAGGACGGCCCUACGGGUUGUAAACCUCUUUUGCCGGGGAGCAACGGGCGUCACGUGUGGCGCCACUGAGAGUACCCGGAGAAAAAGCAUCGGCUAACUCCGUGCCAGCAGCCGCGGUAAUACGGAGGAUGCGAGCGUUAUCCGGAUUUAUUGGGUUAAAAGGGUGCGUAGGCGGAUCGUUAAGUCAGUGGUCAAAUUGAGGGGCUCAACCCCUUCCCGCCAUUGAAACUGGCGCUCUUGAGUGGAAGAGAAGUAUGCGGAAUGCGUGGUGUAGCGGUGAAAUGCAUAGAUAUUAGGAGGAACACCAGUGGCGAAGGCGGCCUGCUGGACGACAACUGACGGUGAGGCGCGAAAGCGUGGGGAGCAAACAGGAUUAGAUACCCUUGUAGUC